rnacentral:rRNA from 1 species
GGGCCCGCACAAGCGGUGGAGCAUGUGGUUUAAUUCGAUGAUACGCGAGGAACCUUACCAGGGCUUAAAUGUAGUCUGACAGGACUGGAAACAGUUUUUUCUUCGGACUCAUUACAAGGUGCUGCAUGGUUGUCGUCAGCUCGUGCCGUGAGGUGUCAGGUUAAGUCCUAUAACGAGCGCAACCCCUAUCGUUAGUUGCCAGCGAGUAAUGUCGGGAACUCUAACGAAACUGCCAGUGCAAACUGUGAGGAAGGUGGGGAUGACGUCAAAUCAUCACGGCCCUUACGUCCUGGCUACACACGUGCUACAAUGGCGGUGACAAAGGGAUGCAAUAGGGCAACCUGGAGCA